rnacentral:rRNA from 1 species
UCCGUAGGCGGUGCGGCAAGUCGGAAGUGAAAUCUCAGGGCUUAACCCUGAGGCUGCUUCCGAAACUGCCGUGCUCGAGUGCGAGAGAGGCGAGUGGAAUUGCAGGUGUAGCGGUGAAAUGCGUAGAUAUCUGCAGGAACAUCCGAGGCGAAAGCGGCUCGCUGGAUCGCAACUGACGCUGAGGGACGAAAGCUAGGGGAGCAAACAGGAUUAGAUACCCUGGUAGUCCUAGCCCUAAACGAUCAGGACUGGGCGUGGGCCUCGUACGGGGCUCGUGCCGCAGCUAACGCGUUAAGUCCUGCGCCUGGGGAGUACGGUCGCAAGGCUGA